GCAUCAAUAGAUCAGUGGCAGAUUGGUGGGGCGUUGACCCAUGCGGCUCAGGUUCGAGCCCCGGUCGAUGCA